CAAACGAUAUGGAGGAAGAGCAAGUACGUGUCAGUGAGGGGUUUUAAGAGAGUCGGUGGCUGGUGUGAACCGAUGCCCCCCUGAUGCCGAAUGGGCUUCUGAAUCGCUCCGCUGAACGGAUUCCAUCAGUAGGCGGCGCCGGGAUGUUCUCUCCGUUAUCAAGAGAAACAUAUCGAAAGGAUGAUCCCUUUCCGUAUGUUUGUGAGCGAAUCGUAUUUGCGAUUAAAAAAGGUGGUACCGCGAGACCCUCGUCCUUUUG
rnacentral:ncRNA from 1 species